CCAGACUCCUACGGGAGGCAGCAGUGGGGAAUAUUGGACAAUGGGGGGAACCCUGAUCCAGCGACGCCGCGUGAGUGAAGAAGUAUUUCGGUAUGUAAAGCUCUAUCAGCAGGGAAGAAAAUGACGGUACCUGACUAAGAAGCCCCGGCUAACUACGUGCCAGCAGCCGCGGUAAUACGUAGGGGGCAAGCGUUAUCCGGAUUUACUGGGUGUAAAGGGAGCGUAGACGGUGCAGCAAGUCUGAUGUGAAAGGUCGGGGCCCAACCCCGGGACUGCAUUGGAAACUGUUGAACUGGAGUACAGGAGAGGUAAGCGGAAUUCCUAGUGUAGCGGUGAAAUGCGUAGAUAUUAGGAGGAACACCAGUGGCGAAGGCGGCUUACUGGACUGUAACUGACGUUGAGGCUCGAAAGCGUGGGGAGCAAACAGGAUUAGAUACCCGCGUA
rnacentral:rRNA from 1 species